GAUGAACGCUGGCGGCGUGCCUAAUACAUGCAAGUCGAGCGAACGGACGAGAAGCUUGCUUCUCUGAUGUUAGCGGCGGACGGGUGAGUAACACGUGGAUAACCUACCUAUAAGACUGGGAUAACUUCGGGAAACCGGAGCUAAUACCGGAUAAUAUUUUGAACCGCAUGGUUCAAAAGUGAAAGACGGUCUUGCUGUCACUUAUAGAUGGAUCCGCGCUGCAUUAGCUAGUUGGUAAGGUAACGGCUUACCAAGGCAACGAUGCAUAGCCGACCUGAGAGGGUGAUCGGCCACACUGGAACUGAGACACGGUCCAGACUCCUACGGGAGGCAGCAGUAGGGAAUCUUCCGCAAUGGACGAAAGCCUGACGGAGCAACGCCGCGUGAGUGAUGAAGGUCUUCGGAUCGUAAAACUCUGUUAUUAGGGAAGAACAUAUGUGUAAGUAACUGUGCACAUCUUGACGGUACCUAAUCAGAAAGCCACGGCUAACUACGUGCCAGCAGCCGCGGUAAUACGUAGGUGGCAAGCGUUAUCCGGAAUUAUUGGGCGUAAAGCGCGCGUAGGCGGUUUUUUAAGUCUGAUGUGAAAGCCCACGGCUCAACCGUGGAGGGUCAUUGGAAACUGGAAAACUUGAGUGCAGAAGAGGAAAGUGGAAUUCCAUGUGUAGCGGUGAAAUGCGCAGAGAUAUGGAGGAACACCAGUGGCGAAGGCGACUUUCUGGUCUGUAACUGACGCUGAUGUGCGAAAGCGUGGGGAUCAAACAGGAUUAGAUACCCUGGUAGUCCACGCCGUAAACGAUGAGUGCUAAGUGUUAGGGGGUUUCCGCCCCUUAGUGCUGCAGCUAACGCAUUAAGCACUCCGCCUGGGGAGUACGACCGCAAGGUUGAAACUCAAAGGAAUUGACGGGGACCCGCACAAGCGGUGGAGCAUGUGGUUUAAUUCGAAGCAACGCGAAGAACCUUACCAAAUCUUGACAUCCUUUGACAACUCUAGAGAUAGAGCUUUCCCCUUCGGGGGACAAAGUGACAGGUGGUGCAUGGUUGUCGUCAGCUCGUGUCGUGAGAUGUUGGGUUAAGUCCCGCAACGAGCGCAACCCUUAAGCUUAGUUGCCAUCAUUAAGUUGGGCACUCUAAGUUGACUGCCGGUGACAAACCGGAGGAAGGUGGGGAUGACGUCAAAUCAUCAUGCCCCUUAUGAUUUGGGCUACACACGUGCUACAAUGGACAAUACAAAGGGCAGCGAAACCGUGAGGUCAAGCAAAUCCCAUAAAGUUGUUCUCAGUUCGGAUUGUAGUCUGCAACUCGACUACAUGAAGCUGGAAUCGCUAGUAAUCGUAGAUCAGCAUGCUACGGUGAAUACGUUCCCGGGUCU
rnacentral:rRNA from 1 species